AACGAACGCUGGCGGCGUGGAUAAGACAUGCAAGUCGAACGGGACAACAUUUGUAGUAAUACAGAUGUUGUUCAGUGGCGAACGGGUGCGUAACACGUGGGCAAUCUGCCGAGAAGUGGGGGAUAGCUCGCCGAAAGGCGAAUUAAUACCGCAUGUGGUGAGGGAAGACAUCUUCCUGAAUCCAAAGCCGGGGUAACCUGGCGCUUUUUGAGGAGCCCGCGGCCUAUCAGCUGUUGGUGAGGUAACGGCUCACCAAGGCUUUGACGGGUAGCUGGUCUGAGAGGACGACCAGUCACACUGGAACUGAGACACGGUCCAGACACCUACGGGUGGCAGCAGUCGAGAAUUUUUCUCAAU
rnacentral:rRNA from 1 species